rnacentral:rRNA from 1 species
CACGUAGGGGGCAAGUGUUGUCCGGAUUCAUUGGGCGUAAAGAGCUCGUAGGCGGCUCAGUAAGUCGGGUGUGAAACCCUCAGGCUCAACCUGGGGACGCCACUCGAUACUGCUGUGGCUAGAGUCCAGUAGGGGAGUGUGGAAUUCCCGGUGUAGCGGUGAAAUGCGCAGAUAUCGGGAGGAACACCAGCGGCGAAGGCGGCACUCUGGGCUGGUACUGACGCUGAGGAGCGAAAGCGUGGGUAGCAAACAGG